AUUGAACGCUGGCGGCAGGCCUAACACAUGCAAGUCGAGCGGAUGAAGGGAGCUUGCUCCUGGAUUCAGCGGCGGACGGGUGAGUAAUGCCUAGGAAUCUGCCUGGUAGUGGGGGAUAACGUCCGGAAACGGGCGCUAAUACCGCAUACGUCCUGAGGGAGAAAGUGGGGGAUCUUCGGACCUCACGCUAUCAGAUGAGCCUAGGUCGGAUUAGCUAGUUGGUGGGGUAAAGGCCUACCAAGGCGACGAUCCGUAACUGGUCUGAGAGGAUGAUCAGUCACCCUGGACUUGAGCCACGGCCCGGCCUCCACGGGAGGGCGCGAGUGGGAAAUAUGGACAAUGGGCGAAAGCCUGAUCCAGCCAUGCCGCGUGUGUGAAGAAGGUCUUCGGAUUGUAAAGCACUUUAAGUUGGGAGGAAGGGCAGUAAGUUAAUACCUUGCUGUUUUGACGUUACCAACAGAAUAAGCACCGGCUAACUUCGUG
rnacentral:rRNA from 1 species